UUUUAGAAAUGAUACUUUUAACAUUCCUAAAAUUCAAAACAUCAAUGAUGAUCUGGUGAUACCAAACAUUACGUUGAGAGUUUGAUAUCUCCUUUUUCUCAAUACUAGGAUGUAGAUGUUGUGCUAAGUGACCUUGAGUUAGAGACUCAACUACAACAUAUAUGUUAAUUUAUGAUCUUGUUAUUUAUAUGUAAUUUAUCCCUAUUUUGGAUACCGGUGAUUUCAUGGUUUAUUA
rnacentral:lncRNA from 1 species